AGAACUCUUCCUUCUAAAAGUCGAAAGAAAGUAUACAUACGGACGACCCGUCAUCUCCAUGAACCAACCAAUGCAUGUCUCCGUGUGCAUAUGUGGACUUGCAGGUUGGAAAGCAGGGAGGAACUGUGUGUAACUCCCGCCAUGAGCUUGUCCCCAAUACAAGAACUUCGGCCGCCAAGUAGUCUUUUUUAUUGGUGGAAACACGAACAAUCUUG
rnacentral:lncRNA from 1 species